CUUUUUGUGUGGAGAGAAAUAAGGCUUUCUCCCCAAAGGGCUUUUGAGCGAGUUAACCCCCCCCUAGAAAGGAGGUGCCCCGGUUCCACACCCGGGGAAUUUGAAACCCGGGCCCCCGAACUUCCCUACGGGAGAGGCAGCCAGUUCGGGAAUUUUUGGGGCCCAUGGGCCGAAAAGGGCUUGACCCCCAGCAAACCCCCGGCCGUAAGUGAAGGAAGGCCCUUUCGGGGUUGUAAAAGCUCUUGUUGCCCCGUGAAGAAACGGGUACUUUCAGGGAAAAUGGGGGAGUACUUGGCCGGUAGCGGGGAGAGGAAGCCCCGGCUUAACUACGGGCCCAGCAGCCGGCGGUAAUACGUAGGGGGCAAGCGUUGUCCGGAUUUAUUGGGCGUAAAGGGCGUGUAGGCGGCCUGUUAAGUCUGAAGUGAAACUCCAGGGCUCAACCCUGGAACUGCUUCGGAUACUGGGAGGCUUGAGUACUCUAGAGGGCAGUGGAAUUGCCGGUGUAGCAGUGAAAUGCGUAGAGAUCGGCAGGAACACCAGUGGCGAAGGCGACUGCCUGGGGAGAAACUGACGCUGAGGCGCGAAAGCUGGGGGAGCAAACGGGAUUAGAUACCCCGGUAGUCCCAGCCGUAAACGAUGAGUGCUAGGUGUAGGGGGUAUCGACCCCCCCUGUGCCGGAGUUAACGCAAUAAGCACUCCGCCUGGGGAGUACGGCCGCAAGGUUGAAACUCAAAGGAAUUGACGGGGGCCCGCACAAGCAGCGGAGCAUGUGGUUUAAUUCGAAGCAACGCGUAGAACCUUACCAGGGCUUGACAUGUACUGAAUCCCUUGGAGACAGGGGAGUGCUCUUCGGAGAGCAGUAACACAGGUGCUGCAUGGCUGUCGUCAGUUCGUGUCGUGAGAUGUUGGGUUAAGUCCCGCAACGAGCGCAACCCUCGCCCCUAGUUGCCAUCAUUCAGUUGGGCACUCUAGGGGGACUGCCGGUGAUAAGCCGGAGGAAGGUGGGGAUGACGUCAAGUCCUCAUGGCCCUUACAGGCUGGGCUACACACGUGCUACAAUGGCGGUGACAAUGGGACGCGAAGCCGCGAGGCCGAGCAAAUCUCCAAAAGCCGUCUCAGUUCGGAUUGCACUCUGCAACUCGAGUGCAUGAAGUUGGAAUCGCUAGUAAUCGUAGAUCAGAACGCUACGGUGAAUACGUUCCCGGGCCUUGUACACACCGCCCGUCACACCAUGGGAGUUGGCUUUACCCGAAGGCGUCUCGCUAACCGCAAGGAGGCAGGCGACCACGGUAGGGUCAGCGACUGGGGUGAAGUCGUAACAAGGUAGCCGUCGAAUA
rnacentral:rRNA from 1 species